rnacentral:rRNA from 1 species
UCGAACGCGUCUUGGUUAUUGAUGUUAAGUGCUUGCAUUUAACUGAUUUAACAUUGAGACGAGUGGCGAACUGGUGAGUAACACGUGGGUAACCUGCCCUUGAAGUAGGGGAUAACACUUGGAAACAGGUGCUAAUACCGUAUAACAACCAAAACCACCUGGUUUUGGUUUAAAAGAUGGCUUCGGCUAUCACUUUAGGAUGGACCCGCGGCGUAUUAGCUUGUUGGUAAGGUAACGGCCUACCAAGGCAAUGAUACGUAGCCGACCUGAGAGGGUAAUCGGCCACAUUGGGACUGAGACACGGCCCUAACUCCUACGGGAGGCAGCAGUAGGGAAUCUUCCACAAUGGACGAAAGUCUGAUGGAGCAACGCCGCGUGAGUGAUGAAGGGUUUCGGCUCGUAAAACUCUGUUGUUGGAGAAGAACAGGUGUGAGAGUAACUGUUCACAUCUUGACGGUAUCCAACCAGAAAGCCACGGCUAACUACGUGCCAGCAGCCGCGGUAAUACGUAGGUGGCAAGCGUUGUCCGGAUUUAUUGGGCGUAAAGCGAGCGCAGGCGGUUUCUUAGGUCUGAUGUGAAAGCCUUCGGCUUAACCGGAGAAGUGCAUCGGAAACCAGGAGACUUGAGUGCAGAAGAGGACAGUGGAACUCCAUGUGUAGCGGUGAAAUGCGUAGAUAUAUGGAAGAACACCAGUGGCGAAGGCGGCUGUCUGGUCUGUAACUGACGCUGAGGCUCGAAAGCAUGGGUAGCGAACAGGAUUAGAUACCCUGGUAGUC